rnacentral:ncRNA from 2 species
AUUUGAUUGCGGGGGGACUCUUUUAGAGUUGAGAAGGUUAAAACCUGACCCUUAGAACCUGUUAGUUAAUACUGGCGUAGGGAGCAAUGGUCAUCAGGCG